rnacentral:rRNA from 1 species
UGAGACAAUCCCAGUUGUUUGUACAAGUGGGCGCAUUCCCGAGGAAUGCAGAAAAGAAGUUUAUUAAGAAAAAGAACAAAUUUACAAUUGUAGAAAUUCGAGGAAUUUGACAAGGAAUCAAUGAGAAUAUCUGAUCUAUCAACUAGUUGGUAGUAUAGAGGACUACCAAGGUUAUAACGGAUAACGAGAAAUUAGGGUUUGACAUCGGAGAAGGAGCUUUCAAAAUGGCUACUACUUCUAAGGAAGGCAGCAGGCGCGUAAAUUACCCACUUUUAACAGAAAGAGGUAGUGACGACAAAUAACUCUAUUUUUGCUAUAAAACAAAAAUUGAAGGAAUGAACAGAACGUACAUAGU